rnacentral:rRNA from 1 species
GGACGAACGCUGGCGGCACGCUUAACACAUGCAAGUCGAACGGAGAAUGUUGAGUUACUUAGACAUUCUUAGUGGCGGACGGGUGAGUAACACGUGAGCAACCUGCCUUUGAGAGAGGGAUAGCUUCUGGAAACGGAUGGUAAUACCUCAUAACGUAGUGAGACCGCAUGGUCAUACUACCAAAGAUUAAUCACUCAAAGAUGGGCUCGCGUCUGAUUAGCUAGAUGGUGAGGUAACGGCCCACCAUGGCGACGAUCAGUAGCCGGACUGAGAGGUUGAACGGCCACAUUGGGACUGAGACACGGCCCAGACUCCUACGGGAGGCAGCAGUGGGGAAUAUUGCACAAUGGGGGAAACCCUGAUGCAGCGAUGCCGCGUGGAGGAAGAAGGUUUUCGGAUUGUAAACUCCUGUCUUAAAGGACGAUAAUGACGGUACUUUAGGAGGAAGCUCCGGCUAACUACGUGCCAGCCGCGGC